UACGGGGGGGGCAAGCGUUGUUCGGAAUUACUGGGCGUAAAGGGCUCGUAGGCGGCCAACUAAGUCAGACGUGAAAUCCCUCGGCUUAACCGGGGAACUGCGUCUGAUACUGGAUGGCUUGAGUUCGGGAGAGGGAUGCGGAAUUCCAGGUGUAGCGGUGAAAUGCGUAGAUAUCUGGAGGAACACCGGUGGCGAAGGCGGCAUACUGGACCACAUCUGACGCUGAGGCGCGAAAGCCAGGGGAGCAAACGGG
rnacentral:rRNA from 1 species